GGGGAUGUAGCUCAGUUGGUAGAUAGAGUGCUUGCCUUGCAUGCACAAGGCCCUGGGUUCAAUCCCCAGCACCACCA